UUUUUUCCACCCAAAUACUAGUAUAUAUAUAAAGAUAUUUGAAAGCUAGGGAUGGAUGGAAUAAUUGCAGUCCUUAGACUCUAAGUGGAUUUUAUGAGUUGUCCACAUUAUAUUAUAGUAGUGGAACACUGCCCUCCCCAAUGAAAUUGGGUCAACAUGUGUCAUCAUAAGCAUUUCAAAAUCAGUGUCACCUUUUGGCCAGACCCAACAAUGCAUGUCGUGAAGGAAAUUACACAAUAAUUAGGAAUGGUUAUGGUACUAAUUUUGAAGCUAUCCUAGAGGAUAAACUAAAGGAAAAUUAAAUAUAUAGUUCAAAUACAUCAAGUUCUUUUUGUUAAAUAAUAA
rnacentral:lncRNA from 1 species